AUGCAAGUCGAGGGGCAGCAUAAUGGAUAGCAAUAUCUAUGGUGGCGACCGGCGCACGGGUGCGUAACGCGUAUGCAACCUACCUUUAACAGGGGGAUAACACUGAGAAAUUGGUACUAAUACCCCAUAAUAUCAUAGAAGGCAUCUUUUAUGGUUGAAAAUUCCGAUGGUUAGAGAUGGGUAUGCGUUGUAUUAGCUAGUUGGUGGGGUAACGGCUCACCAAGGCGACGAUACAUAGGGGGACUGAGAGGUUAACCCCCCACACUGGUACUGAGACACGGACCAGACUCCUACGGGAGGCAGCAGUGAGGAAUAUUGGUCAAUGGACGCAAGUCUGAACCAGCCAUGCCGCGUGCAGGAUGACGGCUCUAUGAGUUGUAAACUGCUUUUGUACGAGGAUAAACGCAGAUACGUGUAUCUGUCUGAAAGUAUCGUACGAAUAAGGAUCGGCUAACUCCGUGCCAGCAGCCGCGGUAAUACGGAGGAUUCAAGCGUUAUCCGGAUUUAUUGGGUUUAAAGGGUGCGUAGGCGGUUUGAUAAGUUAGAGGUGAAAUUUCGGGGCUCAACCCUGAACGUGCCUCUAAUACUGUUGAGCUAGAGAGUAGUUGCGGUAGGCGGAAUGUAUGGUGUAGCGGUGAAAUGCUUAGAGAUCAUACAGAACACCGAUUGCGAAGGCAGCUU
rnacentral:rRNA from 1 species